rnacentral:rRNA from 1 species
GAUGAACGCUGGCGGCGUGCCUAAUACAUGCAAGUCGAGCGAACGGACGAGAAGCUUGCUUCUCUGAUGUUAGCGGCGGACGGGUGAGUAACACGUGGAUAACCUACCUAUAAGACUGGGAUAACUUCGGGAAACCGGAUCUUAUACCGGAUGAUAUUUUGCACCGCAUGGGUCAAAAGUGAAAGACGGUCUUGCUGUCUCUUAUAGAUGGAUCCGCGCUGCAUUAGCUAGUUGGUAAGGUAAAGGCUUACCAAGGCAACGAUGCCUAGCCGACCUGAGAGGGUGAUCGGCCACACGGGAGCUGAGACGCGGUCCAGACUCCUGAGAGAGGCAGCAGUAGGGAAUCUUCCGCAAUGGGCGAAAGCCUGACGGAGCAACGCCGCGUGAGUGAUGAAGGUCUUCGGAUCGUAAAACUCUGUUAUGAGGGAAGAACAGAUGUGUAAGUUGCUGAGCACAUCUUGACGGUACCUAAUCAGAAAGCCACGGCUAACUACGUG